CCUCAACAACUCUGCUACCCUCCCCCCUCAACAACUCUGCUACCCCCCCCCCUCAACAACUCUGCUACCCUCCCCCUCAACAACUCUGCUACCCUCCCCCCUCAACAACUCUGCUACCCUCCCCCCUCAACAACUCUGCUACCCGCCCCCCCUCAACAACUCUGCUACCCUCCCCCUCAACAACUCUGCUACCCUCCCCCCUCAACAACUCUGCUACCCCCCCCCCCCACAACAACUCUGCUACCCUCCCCACUCAGUACUGCCGUGUCAGGGCCAACGUGGCACAUCCUUCCCCGUUCACCCUGACCCCUGCGUUGUGCCGUGGCACGUCCUUCCCCGUUCACCCCUGACCCCUGCGUUGUGACGUGGCACGUCCUUCCCCGUUCACCCCUGACCCCUGCGUUGUGACGUGGCACGUGACCCCCUUCCCGUUCACCCCUGACCCCUGCGUUGUGACGUGGCACGUCCCCUUCCCCGUUCACCCCUGACCCCUGCGUUGUGACGUGGCACGUCCUUCCCCGUUCACCCCUGACCCUUGCGUUGUGAUGUCAUCUGACCAGUAGUGGCAAACACAACUUAACUGGAACGAACAUCUCUAAGGAUUUUAUAAAUUUUGGAAAACAGAAAUCCAGGAAACAACUGUAAAAUCUCACUUGGAUUGUAUUUGGGGGGGGCUGUGAAUAAAGAGGAACUCUUGACUACCCCUGACUGUAACAUACCCUGGGAGGGGGGCAGACUGACUGACCGGGACCCCCAGGGUUGGUAUUUUAACAGGUGUUUAAACAUGACUCGAGUUUUCAAUUUGAUUUUCCAUUUAAUUUUAUUUUGGGAUGGACUUGUGUGUGCGCCGGGCCACAACCUUUAGGAACAUUCUGUCUUCUUCCGUCUGCUUUAUAAACUCCAGUGUGUCGACAGGUGGAGUCGGUCUGGUAGAGCUGUCAUGGGAACACUGAGUGUGAUCAAUAAAUACAUUGAAUUGAAUAAAUAAAGAUUUGUCUCAUCUCCUCUUUAAAUGUUCACCCACGGGGGUUUCUAUGAAGAGGGAGAAGUAUGAUGCGCUAGCCUGGUCCCAGAUCUGUUUGUGC
ensembl:lncRNA